rnacentral:rRNA from 1 species
CCCUUAGAUGUUCUGGGCCGCACGCGCGCUACACUGACGAAGUCAGCGAGCAUGUCCUUCGCCGGCAGGUGCGGGGAAUCUUGUGAAACUUCGUCGUGCUGGGGAUAGAUCAUUGCAAUUCUUGAUCUUGAACGAGGAAUUCCUAGUAAGCGCGAGUCAGCAGCUCGCGUUGAUUACGUCCCUGCCCUUUGUACACACCGCCCGUCGCUACUACCGAUUGAAUGGUUUAGUGAAAAUUUCGGAUUGGAGCCGGCGCGGUCGGCAACGGUCGCGGCGGAUUUCGAGAAGUCGUUUGAACUUGAUCAUUUAGAGGAAGUAAAAGUCGUAACA